AUUGAACGCUGGCGGCAUGCCUUACACAUGCAAGUCGAACGGCAGCACGGGAGCAAUCCUGGUGGCGAGUGGCGAACGGGUGAGUAAUAUAUCGGAACGUGCCCGGUCGUGGGGAUAACGUAGCGAAAGCUACGCUAAUACCGCAUACGAUCUACGGAUGAAAGCGGGGGAUCGCAAGACCUCGCGCGAUUGGAGCGGCCGAUAUCAGAUUAGGUAGUUGGUGAGGUAAAGGCUCACCAAGCCGGCGAUCUGUAGCUGGUCUGAGAGGACGACCAGCCACACUGGGACUGAGACACGGCCCAGACUCCUACGGGAGGCAGCAGUGGGGAAUAUUGGACAAUGGGCGAAAGCCUGAUCCAGCAAUGCCGCGUGAGUGAUGAAGGCC
rnacentral:rRNA from 1 species